UGGAGAGUUUGAUCCUGGCUCAGGACGAACGCUGGCGGCGUGCCUAAUACAUGCAAGUCGAGCGGACCRRAUCGGAGCUUGCUCUGAUUUGGUCAGCGGCGGACGGGUGAGUAACACGUGGGCAACCUGCCCGCAAGACCGGGAUAACUCCGGGAAACCGGAGCUAAUACCGGAUAACACCGAAGACCGCAUGGUCUUUGGUUGAAAGGCGGCCUUUGGCUGUCACUUGCGGAUGGGCCCGCGGCGCAUUAGCUAGUUGGUGAGGUAACGGCUCACCAAGGCGACGAUGCGUAGCCGGCCUGAGAGGGUGACCGGCCACACUGGGACUGAGACACGGCCCAGACUCCUACGGGAGGCAGCAGUAGGGAAUCUUCCGCAAUGGGCGAAAGCCUGACGGAGCGACGCCGCGUGAGCGAAGAAGGCCUUCGGGUCGUAAAGCUCUGUUGUGAGGGACGAAGGAGCGCCGUUCGAAGAGGGCGGCGCGGUGACGGUACCUCACGAGGAAGCCCCGGCUAACUACGUGCCAGCAGCCGCGGUA
rnacentral:rRNA from 1 species